rnacentral:rRNA from 1 species
GAUGAACGCUAGCGAUAGGCUUAACACAUGCAAGUCGCGGGGCAGCACAAGGUAGCUUGCUCUCUGGGUGGCGACCGGCGCACGGGUGCGUAACGCGUAUGCAACUUGCCCUAUACAGGAGGAUAACCCGUCGAAAGACGGACUAAUACUGCGUAUGCUCACAACUUGGCAUCAAGUGGUGAGGAAAGAAAUUCGGUAUAGGAUAGGCAUGCGUCCCAUUAGCUUGUUGGUGAGGUAACGGCUCACCAAGGCAACGAUGGGUAGGGGAACUGAGAGGUUUAUCCCCCACACUGGUACUGAGACACGGACCAGACUCCUACGGGAGGCAGCAGUGAGGAAUAUUGGUCAAUGGGCGCGAGCCUGAACCAGCCAAGUCGCGUGAAGGAUGACUGUCUUAUGGAUUGUAAACUUCUUUUAUACGGGAAUAACAAGAGUCACGUGUGACUCCCUGCAUGUACCGUAUGAAUAAGCAUCGGCUAACUCCGUG